UACGUAGGGUGCGAGCGUUAAUCGGAAUUACUGGGCGUAAAGUGUGCGCAGGUGGCCGCGCAAGUCGAGUGUGAAAUCCCCGAGCUUAACUUGGGAACUGCGCUCGAAACUACGUGGCUCGAGUGUGGCAGAGGAAGGUGGAAUUCCACGUGUAGCGGUGAAAUGCGUAGAGAUGUGGAGGAACACCGAUGGCGAAGGCAGCCUUCUGGGCCAACACUGACGCUCAUGCACGAAAGCGUGGGGAGCAAACAGG
rnacentral:rRNA from 1 species